rnacentral:rRNA from 1 species
GUGCCUCAGCCAAAACGAGGCACGGCGCACAGCUCAGUAACACGUGGCUAACCUGCCCUUAGGACGAGAAUAACCCCGGGAAACUGGGGCUAAUGCUCGAUAGGUGAAGAACUCUGGAAUGAGUCUUCACUUAAAAGAGUCUGCGUUAUGCUCGUAGAUUUCGCUUAAGGAUGGGGCCGCGACCGAUCAGGUUGUUGGUGAGGUAAUGGCUCACCAAGCCUUUUACCGGUGCGGGCCGUGAGAGCGGGAGCCCGGAGAUGGGCACUGAGACAAGGGCCCAGGCCCUACGGGGCGCAGCAGUCGCGAAAACUUUGCAAUACACGAAAGUGUGACAAGGCUAUCCCGAGUGCCAUCCGCUGAGGAAGGCUUUUACCCAGUCUAGAACGCUGGGGGAAUAAGGAGAGGGCAAGUCUGGUGUCAGCCGCCGCGGUAAUACCAGCUCUCCGAGUGGUGUGGAUGUUUAUUGGGCCUAAAGCAUCCGUAGCUGGCUAAGUUAGUCCCCUGUUAAAUCCAACGAAUUAAUCGUUGGAUCGCGGGGGAUACUGCUUGGCUAGGGGA